rnacentral:rRNA from 1 species
GAUGAACGCUGGCGGCGUGCCUAAUACAUGCAAGUCGAGCGAACGGACGAGAAGCUUGCUUCUCUGAUGUUAGCGGCGGACGGGUGAGUAACACGUGGAUAACCUACCUAUAAGACUGGGAUAACUUCGGGAAGCCGUAGCUAAUACCGGAUAAUAUUUUGAACCGCAUGGUUCAAAAGUGAAAGACGGUCUUGCUGUCACUUAUAGAUGGAUCCGCGCUGCAUUAGCUAGUUGGUAAGGUAACGGCUUACCAAGGCAACGAUGCAUAGCCGACCUGAGAGGGUGAUCGGCCACACUGGAACUGAGACACGGUCCAGACUCCUACGGGAGGCAGCAGUAGGGAAUCUUCCGCAAUGGUCGAAAGCCUGACGGAGCAACGCCGCGUGAGUGAUGAAGGUCUUCGGAUCGUAAAACUCUGUUAUUAGGGAAGAACAUAUGUGUAAGUAACUGUGCACAUCUUGACGGUACCUAAUCAGAAAGCCACGGCUAACUACGUG